AAAAAGGUACUCCUGGCCUUUCUCUUCUUCAUUUGUGGAGGAAAAAUCUUAGUUGUAGAAACUGAAAAGAAUAGAAAUGCAAAAGUUGAGAAGGCAAAGUUGUAAUGUGACGGGUGAUAAAGCAAAAUAUUUUGGUUUGUAUUUUGAAAUGCAAAGCAAACAAAACAAAACAAAGAAAAACAAGUGGACCUCAGGACUUGGUAAUGAUAAUUUGCCUUACAGAGUUCAAAGCAGACCUGGGAUUACUAUCCUUUAAAAUCAUUAUUUCACCCCCUCACACCAGGCCAACUGAGGCACACUGAGUUCAAAUGUAGCAGCAGUGCAGCAACUCUGCAAUGCAAUGAAUAUGGGAAACGAAUAAUUUAAAUUUGGCGGGUCUUGAGGAAUCUCCCUGGAGAGAUGGGGCUCCUGCAGAGGUGCUCGUGGCUAUGUAGAGUACGUCUUUCCUGAGGUUCUUCUUUACCUGUGGAACAGCCUGAUCUGGAAAAAGGAUCAAGAAUGGAGCGAGGAUGGCAGUAGGUCUGGCGGAAGACAAAUCAUGACACAUUUUGGCAGUGGACCUUCUUUAAUGUUAUCCCCAGCUUCAGUACCAGAGGUACUGAAGGUAUUUUUUCAGAGUAUUUCUCAGUCUUGAGCUUAAUUGCCAACAUUUUCAUGAGCUUGCAGGGUCCACACAGGGAGUACCAUGCUUUUGAUACAGAAGGCUUCUGGGCAAUUUCUGAUUCUUCAUAGAGAUAUUGGAUAGAAUCAUACUGAUUAAGCUGUGGCAACAGCAAACAGUCUCAAUAUUGUGAAGUCCAAGAGGUGGGUUUUGUUGCUAACAUAAAAAUAUACCUCAGCCACAUGCUGGUGCAAUGCACAAGUGGGGAUUGGGAGUGGAGUUUCUUCCUCUAUCCAACAAAAGAUAUAUUUGCUGUAAUUUUGACCACCACAACCUUUUGUGAAAGCUGCCCUUGGAAAACAG
ensembl:lncRNA